GGGUCGGUGGCCGAGUGGUCAGGCGCGUCUCCGGCAAAGGGCGUUACGCCGGUUCGAAUCCGGCCCGGCCCU
rnacentral:tRNA from 1 species